GAUGAAGAACGUAGCGAAAUGCGACAAGUAAUGUGAAUUGCAGAAUUCAGUGAAUCAUCGAAUCUUUGAACGCACAUUGCGCCCGCCAGUAUUCUGGCGGGCAUGCCUGUUCGAGCGUCAUUUCAACCAUCAAGCCCCCGGCUUGUGUUGGGGACCUGCGGCUGCCGCAGGCCCUGAAAUGCAGUGGCGGGCUCGCUGUCACUCCGAGCGUAGUAGUUACAUCUCGCUCUGGGCGUGCUGCGGGUUCCGGCCGUUAAAAGCCUUAUUUACCCAAGGUUGACCUCGGAUCAGGUAGGAAGACCCGCUGAACUUAAGCAUAUCAUAAGCGGAGGA
rnacentral:misc_RNA from 1 species